rnacentral:rRNA from 1 species
AUGCGUUGCGAUGAUUUUAGGCAAAAAGAAAACAUAGUUGUGUUUGCAAAUCCCCUAAAUUCUAUUGGAAACAAGUAUAUCGGCCUUAAAUUCCACAUGGAAACACAGAGGAAAACUACAGUAUCCCAUUUCCACAUUAUUAAAACUUUAAAACUGGUCGACGAACAGAAAAUUAUGCUAAUCACAGUUAAAAUUUGGCCCCCUCCCCCUCCCGGCCUCAGCCACUCACAAGUCACAUCACACGACUGCUAUAAUUUUCUCAGAACCAUCCUCUGUUGUCAGGUCAAAGUAAACGCAGCGCCAGGAACCGACGAUCUCCUUUCUUUCUUUUAA